ensembl:lncRNA
CUUUUGGUGAUCAAGCAAAGGAAGGGAAUGCGGCAACAGAAACCCAGCGAACCUGCUACCGAUGACGUAAAAGCUCGAGCAGUGGAGGAAAUGAUGGCCAGGAUCAAGAGCGGGGUUGCCCUGAGACCAGCAAAGAAGGAUGGGGCUGCAUUGUCUCAGGAUCGCGCAACAGCAGCCAGCAAACGCAAGAGCACUGUGAUGGAGCUGCAAGGGAUCCUGGGCACAAUGAAAAGGCCGGUCAGAAAACAGAGCUGGAGUGAACACAGCCAGAAGAUCAACGACAACCAGCUGCAGUCCAUCCUGCAGAGACGGCGCAGGAUGGUGGACUCCUCCACUCCCGCCCAGCCCUCGCCACUGCGGGACGAGCUCAGAAAAGAGGUGCAGAAUCAAGGUGACAGUGGAAUUUCCAAAGCUAUGUCCAGCCCAUGCACCAAGGAGACUGUAGCUGUCGUCCAGUUAAGAGCAAGAUCGGUGCACCUUCAGAAAAGCAGGCAACUGGCUCUCCUGAAUGAAGCAGAGGACAAGCUGGCAUAGAGAGAGACUACCUGAAAACCAGCCAUCCUGUUGCACCACAAGACACUGCAUGGCUGCCUGAUCUCACACCCUGCCAAUGCUCCUUGCAGUACCUGCCCCACCUGUGUAUCUUUCAGGCACGCAAACAUUCAGAUCCUGAGCACAGCCUGAGGAUGCGGUUCUCCAGUCGAGCUUGUUAGCACGAAGUGCAGCCAGAUGCACAGCUUGCUCGCUUACGCAUACUAGCUUGCUCUGCUUGCCUCGGUGGUAGCUGGGAGGUGCGGUCAGGAACCUUAACACUGACAACCUUCAUAUUGUCAAGUAUCAGAGGGUAGCCGUGUUAGUCUGGAUCUGUCAAAGCAGCAAAGAAUCCUGUGGCACCUUAUAGACUAACAGAUGUUUUGGAGCAUGAGCUUUCGUGGGUGAAUACCCACUUCCUCAGAUGNUCAUAUUGUGGUCCUAGAGUGGAUUUGUCAUUGGCCAGUGGAACGUGGUUUUGUUGACAGUGGUUUGUAAAGAUCAUCCAUCCCUCCUCUUUCAAAGGCCAGACAUAAUUUCACAGUCUUCCUGAGGACUGCUGGGCUGCACAUAAAGAAGGCUGCAGCUUUCGAGCCCAUUCUUUUCUAACCGAGCUGCUCUGACAAGAAUAGACCAGCAGAACCCAGUCAGCUGCUGAGCUGAGCAUCAUGGGGGAUCUGAGUGUCCUUCUAAGAAGCCCCACAUUUGACAUUUGAGUUCUGUAUCUUUUAACUAGACAACCUGUUAGAGGAAGGGGCUAAAGAGACAGAAAUUGAAUUUGGAUGGACUAAGCUCAGAUCUCUCGGCAGUUCACACGUUGUGGGGCUUGUCAAGCUGCCUAGGGUGGCUCACGAGCCUGAGUAACCACCUCAGGGCAGACUGUGAAGAAGCAGGGCACAAACCCCAAGCUGGCUGUGAGUUCUGUGUCCACAUUUCACCAACCAAGUAUCACGUCUGAACUCCUAAAGGACUGUGACAGCCUUAACAUGGAGUCGCAGACAGUACCCUUGGGUACUCGGGUCUGUCUUGCCA